CGGCCGAUCCCUCCCCGGCUGCUCUUUCCCUCCAUCCUCACUCGGAGCAUUCCCUGUUGGAGCCUCCGGAGCCGCUUCUCCGGGGCCUGUCCAUCCCUGGUGGCUCUGACUGUUCACACCAACCGGGAGGAUCCCCCGGAGCCCCCCGGGAUGUGAAAAUGAUCCCGAAAUUCUUUGGUGGGAAUAAUUUCGGAUCUGGGGGGAGCGGGAGGCUCUGGGGGCACAGCGGUGCCGGGGGGCCUGAGGGAGCGGAUUCUGUCCGGGCUCUGGGCUGGGCCUGGGGGCUCUGGGCCUGUCCUGGGGGUUCUGUGCCCACCCUGGGGGCUCUGUGCCCAUCCUGGGGGUUCUGUGCCCACCCUGGGGGUUCUGUGCCCACCCUGGGGUUCUGUGCCCAUCCUGGGGGCUCUGUGCCCACCCUGGGGGCUCUGUGCCCAUCCCAGGGGCUCUGUGCCCACCCUGGGGGCUCUGUGCCGAUCCCAGGCCGUGCCUGGCUCCUGCCCUGGCUCGUUUUGGGAAAAGGCCUCGGGAACGGCGCCGGUGCCGCGUCCUGGCCCAGGCAGAGCCAAUUCCAGGGUUGGGAAUUGGGGAUGGGGGCUGGAGAUCCCAGAAAUCCAACAGCCCCUGGUGGGGUGGGAUGGAUGGAUUUGGGGAUCUUGCAGGGGGUCCCAGCCCGAGCCCGGAUUUUCAGCUCCGCUGCUCUCCCCAAAUCCCACCGAGCCCUCCCUGGAAAUCCGCGCUGGCAGCGGGGACAUCCCGGCAGUUCCCGAGGCAAUUCCCGAGGGCUGGGGGUGUCCCGGCGGGGGGGACUCGAUGCCUUUCCACCAUCAGCGGCCCCGCAAAGCAAUAAAACCACGGAGGGGCCGCGGGGAGCCGCGGGAGCCGCUCGGUGCCAACUGCCCUUAACGUGGGCUCCGGGUCUUUGUAAGCAAUGUCUGUGGAUUACUGUAAAUACGAGCGACAAAUCGGAAAUGACUGCCUUCUCCCUGAUUAUUUUUCUGAGUAAUUCCAGAUGUACUUUAGUCUCUCUACUGUCAAAACUUUUAUAUUGUAAAUCUGAUGCUGGUGGCUUUUUUGGUUAUUUUGGUUUUUGGUUUUUGGGUUUGUUUUUUGUUGGUUUUUUUUUGUAAAAAAGAGACUGAAAAUGAAAAAAAAAAAAAAAAAAAAAAAGAAAAAAAAAAAAAAAAAAGAAAAUAAGAAAAAGGAAAAAAAGUCUGCAUCUCUCUAUGUUGUCAGUUUUAGGCUGUAAAUUCCAACUAUCAAUAAAAGCUCAAAAUUCACGUGCCA
rnacentral:lncRNA from 1 species